CCGCCUUCUGCCCCGGGGCGCGCGGGCGGCGGUGGAGAGCGAAGAGGCGGGAGCGGGCGGGAGAGGUACGGCUGUGCUGCUGCUGCUGCUUCGUUGGCUGUGGUUAAGACGACCUGGAGAGGGAAGCGGGGCCUAGGAAGGACUCUAAUCAUUCUUUUCUUGGUUUGCCCACCGGCUCCGCCUGAAGAUGAAUGAAUUUAAUUGCGAACACACUGUGCUCCGUCAGCGAAGCCAAUGAAAUAAAACCUCCAGGCGAUACCCCGCUGUGUCUGAGGGCUCGGAACCCAUGCUGCUGGCCCGGUACAAGCGCUGCUUGUUCCAGCAUCAGAAGCAAGAUCACAGCACACCUGGCUCCAUACUCAAGGUCAGGCUGGAUGGGGCUCUGAGCAACCUGAAGUAGCUGUAGGUGUCCCUGUUCAUUGCAGGGCAGUUGGACUAGACGGCCUGCAAGGAUCCCCUCCAACUCAGAUGGCUCUAUGAUUCUGUGUUGAACAUCAGUCCUAGCGUGGACCAAGGUGGAAGUGUGUCAUACAGCGUAAGAGAUGAAGCUGACCAAUAAAACGAAGAAAACCCUGCAAAAACGUCUGUCUCGUUGCCACUGUUGAUGUCAGAUGCUGUGAUAUGAGCUUGUGGAGUCAGAGCAGUAAUUCACCUGGCACUCGCUCUUGUGAAGUCAUGAACAUCUUGUUCAGAGAAGAAACAGAUCAGUCUCAGCUUGAGGAGCCCCAGCCUGCAGUGUCUGCUUCUCUUUCAAAUUCUUUGGGCUCCAACAGAAGAACAAAGGUGAAGAAGCAGCCCAGGCUAUUACACCUUUAAGCCUGUAUUAUGUUUCCAAUGUUAGAGCUCGGACUAUGGUUUGGAUCCUAAAGCUAAACUGAAGGCUGAAAAUUGCAAAAAGCAGAAGAAAGCUAGAUGUAAUGGCAGAUGGUUAGCUCAUCCCAUGAAAGAUGUCUGCACCAUAAAGCUGGGUUCUGAAAGAGCACAGCGUUCCUCUGGCUAUAUGUGCAGUGCGGUGCUGAAGUCAAACGAUGCUCAGAAAAUCCAGGAAAAGUGCUGUGAUGUGGAUUGAAGUUGUCACAUGACUCAGUGGGUCCUAAUGGCAAAUCUGUUAAACUUACCCAAGCAGAUGCAAGUAACUUAACAGGGCUUCCUCCACAGAGGUGUUUUCUGUCAUCAAGUGCCUGGAAACGGCGCAAGAAUUCCUCCAGGGGAAACUUUAUCUCUUUUGGUGCAAGAUGUAUUCAUCACCACUUGAAAAUGAGCAGGUCCUGAGACUUCUAGACCUUUUAGCCAGCUUCACCUCUGUAACUGCAUCCUAGUAUAUAUGCUGUGUGGGCAAUAUUGGUCAUCAAACUCCACUGGAGCAUGGAGCUGGUGCAGACUGCAUGGAGAGUCAGGUGAGAAACCCGUGAAAUCUGUUCUUAUUACUCCAUUUACUCCAUUGAUUCAAAUGGCAGCACCUGCGGAAGCUUGCUAGUGAGGGGCCUUGCAGAUGUCCACUCUGAUCAUGAAGUUGAAGUUCAGCAGUUUUUCAAGAUGAAAGAAAAAAUGCUUGAUUUUUCAUUUCCAGAAAAGAAAAAACAAACACCUUUGUGGCUUUUUCUUAUUUAUGACCUCAGCAAGAGACUGUGCAAACACGAUUCACAGAAAACAAGGCACUGAGUAUGGAAAGCAUUCUCAAGUGCCACCCAUAUUUUUAGCUUCUGAUUGUAACUGGGUUUGCAGCAUAUUGGUAUAAAUGUGGAAUUAAGCAUAGGCUUGAAUUUUUACUGAAAUGGUGUCUCUGGAUAGUUGAUAUGUCUCCUGGUGCUGGGAAGAAACAAGUUAUUAGAUGAUUGAAUUAACAGUCUCUUAAAAACCUCUUUCCCCUGCAUAUGCUGUUAUUGGUCGUAGAAUAAAUCAAGUUGUCUCUGCGCUUGGUUAGCUUUGCCCAUGCAUGCGCACAUAAAUAGUAUGGCAAUGCCCAUUGAAUAGACACUCUCUCAGUACCCCAUUGUGUUUGCACAUGCAUGCAUAAGAGUGUUGCAUUUUAAUAUAUAAAGGCCCUUGUUAUGUGGGCUGUGAUGAUGCUUCUGGAAGAAAGCUAGGUUUCUGGAGGGUUCUGUCUUGUGCUGCCAAAGACCCCGUCUCACUGUUUAUCUGCUUUGGGCAAAGGUGUUUGGUUUUUUAGCCCCAAUACAAUACUCACGUUUCACACGAUUGGAUUUCUGUAUGAAAAACAACCUCCUCUCCUUCCUGGAGAUUCCUUCAUUAAAAAAAUGUCACUGAAGUCAGUGGAAAGACAGAAAGGUUGCAGAGUUCUUAAAUAGAUGUAAAUACUUCAAAGCAUUUUACCUGUGCAAGUUUAAUUCUGCUCCCUUUGGGGUAUGAGGUACAAUUCAGUGUUUUCCAAAUAAUAAAUCAUUUUAGUUCUACAGAAAGAAUUGUUCAGGCUGGACAAAAUGAUGUAGAACUGUGGCAAACAGUGCUAAAGAGAGACUGUAAAACAGCUAUCACCUCAAGCAUAACAACCAGAACUACAAUGGUGUUACUUUGUCUUACAGUGUUGCUGUAUUUCCAGACACCAUCUUUUCUGUGGAGGGAACAAGAUGAGGCUCCUAUAGAUUAAGCAGCAUAUGAUCAAGUGGUUAAGAAGUUUGCCAUAGUGUAUAAUGCACUGAAAGCAUGAUUGAAAAUCCUGUUGGAACUCUUAAUAUGGAUUUCUCUGAAAGAAAUCAGACAAGUGGUACUUAAUUACUCAGUAAUUUAAAACCAUGUAAUGUAUACAUUUGCACACACACACACACACACACAUACACAUAUAUAUAUAUAUAGUGUAGUGGAAAAGAUAAGUGGUGGAGAUAACCAGCUGUGUAAGAUGAUGCUGAAUAAAAGGCAUACAGCUUGCCAUGAAAAGAAUGUGCUUUGGCUGUGAACUAUAUGAUUUUUUUUCCUCCCAUUCUAGUAUUGAAAUGGAUGUGGAGAAGUGGUGAUCUUGUUUGUGUGCUACUGUGAGCUAGUGUCAGAGGAGAAUUAGAUCAAUGCUGCCUGAUUCAGGCAAGAAUUUAUUGAAAUUCCAUUUUAAAUACUUAUCAUGGCAGAGAGAAGCAUUUGGCAAAACUGCUCAACCUGAGGUCUCUUCCUUGACAUCCUUGCAGACUGGCAAUGCCACUCUCCCAUGGCAUCCCUUAGUAUCUCCCUUCCCCAUGGCAUGUGUUUCUCCUCCAGAAACCUUUGGGUACCUUCUGCAGAGCCAGGCUGUCAGAAAGGCCAACUUGGUAACUCAAUCAGUAGUGUCUAGGGAUAUAGUAUGGUUAAAUGCUUCUCCACCCUCAGCUGCUGCCAUAAAGCUGCUUUCCAGGAGAUUCCCGGUGGACAUGGAAAAUCUUAGAAACCAAAGUAAUAUGGCAGAAAGUGGUGACUACCUGUUUCCUCUGAUCAGCCUCACUGUUUUUGUGAAGACCUGCCUGGGGAGGUGUAGUGAUUGGGCAGGUGAAUGUGAUGGGAGGAUUGGCAUGUGAGAAAGGUGUUGUAAGGGAAGGGAAGAAGAUUUCUUAUGCAUAUCAGAAGAUUCCAGGUUCACAGGGGGAAGUUCAGCCAGGGAGAGAUCUCGAGAAAGAGACCCUUCUCCAGUGGCAGUCAGCCCUUAAAUGGGGUCUAAGAGAGGUGGCAACCAGGAUCCACCCCUUCCGGUCACACAGGUGAAUUGCCUUCACCUGUGCUCUCAGGGCUGACUUGGUCUUUUCCCCAGGUGAUCAAUCAGUGGUUCAGGCCGUGACUCAACAGCUCCCAUACAGGAAGAAAGCAGGUAAAGGCAGCUAAAUCCUGGCUUUUGCUGGGGAUAGCCAAGUAGAGCUCCAGGCUACAGAAAGUGUAGCCUGGAGAAAAAUCUACACAGGUAGAUCCACAAGACAGCACAAUGGUUGACUGACCAGAUCUGAAUGGUUAAUCAAAGAGUAGAAGCCACCACGAGCAGUCAUCUGUUUCCUCAGUCAGAAACAACUCCUGAAACCGUUUGGGUGCUAAGAAGUGCUUUGGAAAUUAGAAUUUAUAAAGCUGUAGAGAGCGGAGGGGGGAAAAAAAAAAGAUCCAUGGUUUUGAUUAUUCUUCUACUUACAGCUCUACAGUUCUGUGUUAUGCAUUAUUCAUGCCCUCAGCGUAUGGUACUGCUGACAUUUGUCAUUGCUGGCUUCAUUCUCUGCAAAUCUGCAAGCCUCUUUUGUAGGCGCUUCGUGAGACUUUUUUCAUUACGUGGAAGACUGAAUAUGUAAUUAACAGUGUGCCGGUGAAACCAGCACUUACUUGGCCUAUCAUAACAGGAAUCUGUUCUCCUUUAAUAGCGUUUUGAGUUCAUCACACAUACCCUAUUUCCUUGGGAUAUGAGUAAUAACCUUGCCUUUCUUGAGGCAGAUUCAAAUAGAUUAUUUUUUUCUUACUGCUGUAAAAGGAAUCUGAAUGCUGUUGUAUGUAGUAAUUUAAGCUACUCCAGUUCAGAUAUUGCUGGCCUCCACUGGUACAUAAACCUCGGCAACAUCGGGCUUUCAUUAGCCAUGAGCAUGAGAACUAAGCUCUGAGUGUGGUUAUCCCACUCCAUCUCUGGAAUAUGUCUGCUGAGAGCCACGGCCUGAUACCAGAUGUUGGUUGUACCUGGAGUGAUGGAGACAGCAUGCCUUGGCAAGCAAGUCAAAGGCAACUGGCACACUGCAAAUAAGGCCCCUGGAUUUAUGUGUAAAUAAGAGAACAUUUUGGCUCCAGAGUAAUAAACAAUACUCAAGGGAGGAUGCUUUCACUGCAUUUAUUUUAAGAAAAAUCUACUCUUGGACCGAGAACAAUUUAACUCUUAUUAUGUUCAUUUCCACGUGGUUCUCUGAAAUGCUCCCUGACGGAAUAUUAUUUGGAGGCUUAUUAUCCCCAUAUAAAGCUCUUCAUUUAUUUAAAGUUUCUUAGGUUAAAAUUUCACAUGCUAAACAAAUCUAUAUAACAAGUGCUUUCUAUAUUUCGGAGUUCACCAGACUCUUCAAACAACAAAAAAACAUUGCCCUUUUCCCCUCUUAUGAGGUCUGUGUUCACCCUUUGAACAUAGUGCUCAGGUGAAAAAGUUCUGGUUUUAGCUCUUUAUGGGAGCUGUAGGGUAGUAGAGAAAUAAUAGUUUGGUACAAUUCAUUGUUGAGAGAAAAAUACCACAGUGCCAUGUGUGAAAAUCUCUCUGGAGUUCAUGUCAGGGCCUCAGUGGGGAGAUCCAGACUAAGCCAGGAGCGCAGCAGUGCUUCUCAAGGCUUUCCUCCCUUCUUGUUCCUACAAGCUCUGCAGUGAAGGAAACAGGAACAGAGAAAUUUACGUGUAUGUUUUGUAGAGCAUGCAGUGUUUGUAGUUUUCUUCCCUACCAUGGCUGAACCAGAAGGCAAAGCUGCACCUCAGAAUAUUUGUAGAAAUUGUUCAAAACAUUUUUUCUCCUUUCUUAGUUUGAUUUUUGAUUUUGACCAAAAAGGGAUUUUUUUCUCUAACAAGAAAAAUGUUGCAUUCAAAAGUCUUUGUGGCAGAAAACCCCUUUGUUUGUUAAAUUAAAAACAGAAACCAUUUUACUUUGGAAACCCCCAUUUCCUCUUUUUGGAAGUCUCCAUGGAUUAUUUUUUUUCUAAUCACCAUCACAAAUCAUAAUGCACACUGGACUCUUAGGAACUUAUUCUAUUGUUAAAAUAUCUUAGCAAAUUAAGCCUUCCCUAGUCAGUGAUUUCAUUUCCAGACCUCUACAGACACUUUAAUGUCAAUAGAACUUAAAAGCUGUUUGCUGCAUUGAAGUUAAACUGAACCCCCACCAUACUUCCUGCAACUCACUGGAUGAAUUUGACCUCUGAAAUCUCCAAAGCAAUUAAGCAAACCUCAUUUUCAUGAUGGAUCAGGUGAGAAAUUGUUGCUGUUCUAUCUAAUCUCAUUCAAUUUUCUGGAUGAGAAAGGACUGCGCUGAUCCUCCUGCUCUGCAGCAGGAUUUGUGGGGCACUGUGAAGGUCAGACCUGAAGGUCACACACUUACCACUUCAGCUGGGUGGGUUUUUUUUUAACCUCUGGAAACAAGAACUUCUCAGAAAAGGCACAACUGCUAUUGCUACUUACGCUUAUCCCUUGAAAGAGCUGCCAUUAUGUAGUAAAUUACAGUGUUUAUAUAUGGAUUUGGGGCCUUGAACAAAAAUAGGGAGUUUUCUUAAUCCUGUUUGUCAGAGGCUAAGAUUAAGCGUAGAUGAUCCACUAAAAGAAAAAUUGAACGAGUGUCUGGAUUUGAUCCUAGCCUGACAGAAGUGCUAAACUAAGGAUGAAGCUAUUCACUCUUAAAGCUGAGCCAGCAAUUCUUUUGGAAACCAUUAUGGCUAAUGAUAAAUUCUGUAGGAAUCCUUAAUGUAUGAAAAUACAGCACGUACAACAUCCAGAGAGAUAUAAAUGAAGCCAAGCAGAAUUCCUAGACAUUUUUGGCACUAUUGCACAGAGAAGUCUUUGUGGUGUGCAAAUAAAAUGUAUUUAACCGCUGGCAAAAGCAGUUUGCAAGUACCGUACAUUUCAGAGUAGAUGAUGACUUUACAAUGUGGCAGAGGGAGAAACAGAAAUUCCACCUACAAUUCCCAGUGAUUCAGCAGGGCUCGGGUGGUACAUCCUGGACUCCUGAAGCAUCUUUUGCAUGGUAGCCUAAUGCCGUUGCUGGGAACGUGCUUCUCCCAGAUACGGAGCUCUUGGUUGCAAGGCGCAGCCAGAAGAAUGGAUGCAGUUGCAUUGGUUGUGACUUUCAGUGGUGAAAUUGAGGAUGAUUGUUAGAUUUCAUAAGUUCAGAAGCAAUCAGGCUAAAGAUCACAGAAUUACAGAAUGGCUUGGGUUGGAAGGGGCAUUAAAGCCCACCCAGUUCCAACCCCCAGCUGUGGGCAGGGCUGCCCCCCAGCAGCUCAGGCUGCCCAGGGCCCCAUCCAACCUGGCCUUGAGCGCCUCCAAGGAUGUGGCACCCACAGCAUCUCUGGGCAGCUGUGCCACUGCCUCACUGCCCUCUGAGUCCUAGGUCUGAUCUCUGGAGAAAUCUGGAGCUGCUACUGUGUGUGUGCAAAAUAAUGUGGAUGUUUUGAAAGAUAAAGAAUUCCAAGAAAAAUACGAUGUACGCACUGGUUUGGUUCUUUUUGGCUAAUGCGAACAGGAACUCUCUACCAGAUGCCAUCCCUGUAGCACAGCACGUCAGAAGGCAGCCAUGAGCUAGUGAAUUCAUUACAAAGAGGAAAAUGGGAGGCAGAAAAGAAGUGAGAUUCUUUAAAAGUUCUUCAGUGUAGAAAUUAAAAAAAUGCAGUGUUUUGAAGAGUCUGAACUAUGAGAAGCUUCUCAGGCAGAUGCAACGUCAGGCUCAUAAACCUAAUUCGAGUCCAGAGUGCUUUCUGCCAUAUCUGGCUGUAGUGGAAACAGAUCUCCAAAAUUAUACAGUUUCUGUCUGAGGAUUCAAAUCCAUUCUUGACACUUUGAAGGGCUUCGGUGGUUAGAUGAGGCUUCAGAGGUUACAAGUGUGUUUGUGUACGAUCAGAUCUUUAAAGCCAUUUGGAUUCGGGUCAGCUGUAACAGUGAAGAAGUAAGACUUGUGCUCAAAGCAUUUGCGGAAUAUAACAGGGAGAGGUAGAUGAAUAACUAUUUAUUAAGGGUUUGCAACUGAAAUUUACACAUCUGUGACAGAGAAUGUGCUGCUUGUUUAUGGCCGGGACUUCUAAAGCCUUAUGGUCAGCAAAUGCUGAAGUACAGUUUAUCUUAUUCUCUCUGGAAGUGAUCACUGUGAGAAGUCACUGUGAUUAGCAGAAUGCAGCUUUGCUCCCAGCAGGAGAGGGGAGCACUUUUUCUACUUCGAAAAAAUUCAAAAGUUGACUUCAAAACAAGUUGUUGUACAUCUAUCACUGUGCAGGAAUCGUGCUUUGGCUACAAUUUGCUUUGUAAAAAAAAAAAAAGCAACAAAAAAACAGAUGCAUUUUCUUGUACGCUCUAAAAAUCUCUUCCUUUCCAAGAAAAGCUAGGAGUGAGCAAUUGUGGAACAGUAUGGACAGGCUGUUGAUAUAUAUUAGUGCUGCCAAAAUGUUUCCCCUUUCUGCCUGGGAAAGGAGCAGGAGAGGGUUAAAGUCCUUACAGACGUAACAGCCAGGCCUGGAUCAUUGCUGUUCUGUACAGUGCAGUGUUCUCCCCACCAUUCCUCCUGCAGUUUGUUUCUUUUUGCUGAGUGUGGAAACAGACCUUUACUUACUCCAAGGUACUGGGGAAUUCACGCAGUAGGUAUGGAAAGUGUAGUGAUAACGUCUGCUUUGGUAUGUACAGCUUUUGGGCAGAGACUUUCUUCCAGAGGAUGGUGAUGUGUCUGAUGCCCUAGAUUUCCCUACCCCAAAAGUCCAAUUAAAAGUUUCCAAACAUAAUCAAAUUCAUUAAUGCACCUCCCGCCUCUUGAAAUGCUAUUCUAAGCACAGUUCUUGUCCCCCAGAGGGGGCCAUUGCUGUCAUUCUUUAGUGGACACUGACGGGAUUUGAAUGUCUCUAAAUUCCACCUUUCUAUUUAACACUUUGCUGCUCUGCUCUUUCACUGUCCAUGGCUCCAAUUUGCUCAUCUGUAUUCAAUUUAUUUGGUGGUUUUGAGAACUGUAGUAGUUAAUGCUGAAAGCCACGAAGGCUGAUAACUAUGAAUCCUUUCAGUACAUCCAUUUAAAAUGAGUGCAGUGCUUGAAAAGGUCUUGAGCAGACAGGAGCAGAACCCAAUGUUCCUGCUUGAGCAGGAAGCCCUACCAAGGCAACAUUCCCCAUAUUUUAUUUAGCAAGAUGCUCUCCCUUGCGUGCGACUGACUCAACAGGCCGUGGCCCCAUAGCUUAAGGGACCUGGCUGCUGUCGUUGGCUCUGCUGUUGAGCUGCCAGCCAGCUGCUCUAUGACCCACCCCUCUUCUUCUUCUGCAGAAAGGAGCUUGCUGCUAGCCAUAACAGCACUCCUGCGGAAGGCACACUGAAGGGAAAGGGAGAGCAGCUCAACAGCUAUUCUAGACUCUCAAACGAGUUUGUGUAUGUGUGCAGUGCUGACUCAUUAGCAUUGCUCUGCCCUCACCUGGGCCAUUUAUAGCUCUGAGAAAGUCUAUCUCUGCCUGUGCUGUAUAAUUCAUUCUAUACUCUUAUGUCAUUGGGCUCAUAAAUACAUUAAUGUACUGUGGUAUGGGUAUACCUGGUCAGUACUGGACUCCGUGAAUGGAGUCGUUGCCUUUCGGUUACCCUAGAAAUAUGCAGUAAAAUAUCACUUAAAUAACAGGAUGAUGUUAAAAUUUGUCUUCUAGCAUGUUUCAAUGUAAAGCUUGGUUUGCCAGUAGCCAGAGCAGUACAAGGCAGAAUUGCUUCUGAGUUUUAUUAUCUAUUAAUUAUGUAUUAUCAUUUAUUAAUAAUUUAUACUGUUUUUUGGAAAGACGUAGGAGCUUGGAGCUAGUUAAACAUGCCUAAGAAUGUCAUCUGUACAAUGAAGGGUCAAAAUAAGCAAGAACUGCACUCAGGGGUCAGCACAAAUAUGGUCCUGCACCUUGUUGUUUCUGACAAAAAGGAUGGGAGGGAAGGGAACCACAGCUGCAAUUUGCUCAUGAACAAUUGAAAAUACAGCAAGUUACUGUAGAAGUAGUGGGUGCAGUGGCACAGAUGCAUGUUGUUCCACGAGGGUGAGUUUCACAAUGUGCACAGCAACAGCUGUGCUGGGAUGUGUCUGCAAGAGGGACCAUGAGCUGCUGGGUGCUAAGAAAAGGCAGUGACGUGUAGGAAGGACCUGCAUGCGAGGUGCUUUAGUUAAUUCCAAAUUCUGAUCUCAGCUUUUUCACUGACAUUUCUGUCUGCAUUAAUCUCUUUAUCCGUGAUAUUUCAGACUGGAGAGCCCUAGCCAAAAUCCCACUUACAAGCACUGCCCACUCUUAUUCUGUUAGGGUCUGGAUGGAAGGAGCCCACAUCUCAUCUGCCAUUAAAGUGAUGUCUUUAGAGUUGAUUCCAUUUUCAGUGCAUUUCUGCACUAUUUCUAGAAGCCAACGGAUUUGCUGAGGGGCUGAGCUGGAGGAUAACCAAGGUUUUUGUAAUCUUGAAAUUUUGCAUCUGGAGAUGUUUCUCUUGCUUUAUUAUUUUUUUUUUCUUUUUUUUUUCCUGGCAAAUAUUUCUGCUGAAAUAGUACCCAGAGAGUCUCAGUCAGACAGACUUCAGACCCCCAGACAGUAUCUCAUGACCCUUUGCUUUGGUUGGUGAUAUUUACCCGUAUUUUAGUUAACUUUUUGUUAUCAUUUUAAGUUACCCGUUUCCUUCAAGAACCAUAAUUUAUUGGUGAAACUAUCUUAAAUGAAUGGCAACCCUUAAGCCCCUUGUUCCUCUUCCUCUGUAAGGUUGAAUGAUUUUUAACAAUACAGAAUACUAGAAUAGGCCACUGCAGACUUCACUAAUCAUGUGUAUCAGAUAUUCAACAUCCUAACAUCCUUUCUUCCUGAAGGAAGUGAAUUGGGCAUCCUUGACUUUGGCUACAUAAAUAAUGAGGGUAUUGCUUCUAUUUUGUAGGAGUCAACAUAAUGUUGUAGGACACAACAAAGUGUCAAAAAACAAAUGCACUUUAUAAAAAAGAUGUUAUUGUUUGGGCUAAGGGAAUGUAUUACUUCACUAAUAGUAAUAUUUAUCGAAUGUAUGCACUAUUUUAUAAUUGCAGUAAGUGAAUAAAUUGGCAAUGCAAUGAAGACAGUGUUUUCCAGGGCUACCAGACAACUGCACCAUGAAAAGUUUGAAGGUAACAGUGUUAUAAUGAAGCAUCAAUUGAUGCAUAUACCAGUACCAGAGGGUGGAUUGAAAGUAGGAAAUGUGUAUUAUUAAAAACAAACAAACAAAAAAUGAUUAAGACUUAUUUCAGUAUGAGUUUUGUGCAGAACUUGAAGAAUGUAACCUAGAAUAGAAUCAUAGAAUCAUAGAAUCAAGGUUGUAAAAGACCUCCAAGAUUAUCCAG
rnacentral:lncRNA from 1 species